rnacentral:tmRNA from 1 species
UUUUUCAAAUUCAUAGUAUAAGAACUGUACUAUGUCUUAUUAGGUUUAUUGGAAACUAUUAGGACGAGGGUUCGAUUCCCUCCAACUCCACAUCUUUUUAAGUUUUAAUUCGGUGAUGUCACGCAUGAAUCAUGGAUAAAAGAAUACGGCAGUAAUCGCUUCCAGUACUAUAAGUUCGUAAUAGUAUAAGGAUACCUGCCACCCACGGUCAGAAGCAUAGAGGUUCGACUCCUCUUGGCAAGGGUAUAAACCACUCCUAGAUUAAAAGCCGCAAAGCUUCCAAGCAGGUGUGAGGCCUGCAUAAGGGGUUGCAUGGAUUUGACUAGUAGUGAAAGGUAAAAUAGGUUCGAUUUAAAAUUAAAUGGCAAUAACUUUGUCACAGAUUAUACUGCGAUAGGAGCGUAAUCUAACGUGCUAACUACGAAAGUGAGGGUAUCUGAUAGCUUAAUGGUCAAAGCCUUGGAUUUUACCAAGAGAUUGUGGGUUCGAGUCCCAC